rnacentral:rRNA from 1 species
GGUUAAGCGACUAAGCGUACACGGUGGAUGCCCUGGCAGUCAGAGGCGAUGAAGGACGUGCUAAUCUGCGAUAAGCGUCGGUAAGGUGAUAUGAACCGUUAUAACCGGCGAUUUCCGAAUGGGGAAACCCAGUGUGAUUCGUCACACUAUCAUUAACUGAAUCCAUAGGUUAAUGAGGCGAACCGGGGGAACUGAAACAUCUAAGUACCCCGAGGAAAAGAAAUCAACCGAGAUUCCCCCAGUAGCGGCGAGCGAACGGGGAGCAGCCCAGAGCCUGAAUCAGUGUGUGUGUUAGUGGAAGCGUCUGGAAAGGCGCGCGAUACAGGGUGACAGCCCCGUACACAAAAAUGCACAUACUGUGAGCUCGAUGAGUAGGGCGGGACACGUGGUAUCCUGUCUGAAUAUGGGGGACCAUCCUCCAAGGCUAAAUACUCCUGACUGACCGAUAGUGAACCAGUACCGUGAGGGAAAGGCGAAAAGAACCCCGGCGAGGGGAGUGAAAAAGAACCUGAAACCGUGUACGUACAAGCAGUGGGAGCACAGAGCAAUCUGUGUGACUGCGUACCUUUUGUAUAAUGGGUCAGCGACUUAUAUUCUGUAGCAAGGUUAACCGAAUAGGGGAGCCGAAGGGAAACCGAGUCUUAACUGGGCGUUAAGUUGCAGGGUAUAGACCCGAAACCCGGUGAUCUAGCCAUGGGCAGGUUGAAGGUUGGGUAACACUAACUGGAGGACCGAACCGACUAAUGUUGAAAAAUUAGCGGAUGACUUGUGGCUGGGGGUGAAAGGCCAAUCAAACCGGGAGAUAGCUGGUUCUCCCCGAAAGCUAUUUAGGUAGCGCCUCGUGAAUUCAUCUCCGGGGGUAGAGCACUGUUUCGGCAAGGGGUCAUCCCGACUUACCAACCCGAUGCAAACUGCGAAUACCGGAGAAUGUUAUCACGGGAGACACACGGCGGGUGCUAACGUCCGUCGUGAAGAGGGAAACAACCCAGACCGCCAGCUAAGGUCCCAAAGUCAUGGUUAAGUGGGAAACGAUGUGGGAAGGCCCAGACAGCCAGGAUGUUGGCUUAGAAGCAGCCAUCAUUUAAAGAAAGCGUAAUAGCUCACUGGUCGAGUCGGCCUGCGCGGAAGAUGUAACGGGGCUAAACCAUGCACCGAAGCUGCGGCAGCGACGCUUAUGCGUUGUUGGGUAGGGGAGCGUUCUGUAAGCCUGCGAAGGUGUGCUGUGAGGCAUGCUGGAGGUAUCAGAAGUGCGAAUGCUGACAUAAGUAACGAUAAAGCGGGUGAAAAGCCCGCUCGCCGGAAGACCAAGGGUUCCUGUCCAACGUUAAUCGGGGCAGGGUGAGUCGACCCCUAAGGCGAGGCCGAAAGGCGUAGUCGAUGGGAAACAGGUUAAUAUUCCUGUACUUGGUGUUACUGCGAAGGGGGACGGAGAAGGCUAUGUUGGCCGGGCGACGGUUGUCCCGGUUUAAGCGUGUAGGCUGGUUUUCCAGGCAAAUCCGGAAAAUCAAGGCUGAGGCGUGAUGACGAGGCACUACGGUGCUGAAGCAACAAAUGCCCUGCUUCCAGGAAAAGCCUCUAAGCAUCAGGUAACAUCAAAUCGUACCCCAAACCGACACAGGUGGUCAGGUAGAGAAUACCAAGGCGCUUGAGAGAACUCGGGUGAAGGAACUAGGCAAAAUGGUGCCGUAACUUCGGGAGAAGGCACGCUGAUAUGUAGGUGAAGUCCCUCGCGGAUGGAGCUGAAAUCAGUCGAAGAUACCAGCUGGCUGCAACUGUUUAUUAAAAACACAGCACUGUGCAAACACGAAAGUGGACGUAUACGGUGUGACGCCUGCCCGGUGCCGGAAGGUUAAUUGAUGGGGUCAGCGCAAGCGAAGCUCUUGAUCGAAGCCCCGGUAAACGGCGGCCGUAACUAUAACGGUCCUAAGGUAGCGAAAUUCCUUGUCGGGUAAGUUCCGACCUGCACGAAUGGCGUAAUGAUGGCCAGGCUGUCUCCACCCGAGACUCAGUGAAAUUGAACUCGCUGUGAAGAUGCAGUGUACCCGCGGCAAGACGGAAAGACCCCGUGAACCUUUACUAUAGCUUGACACUGAACAUUGAGCCUUGAUGUGUAGGAUAGGUGGGAGGCUUUGAAGUGUGGACGCCAGUCUGCAUGGAGCCGACCUUGAAAUACCACCCUUUAAUGUUUGAUGUUCUAACGUUGACCCGUGAUCCGGGUUGCGGACAGUGUCUGGUGGGUAGUUUGACUGGGGCGGUCUCCUCCUAAAGAGUAACGGAGGAGCACGAAGGUUGGCUAAUCCUGGUCGGACAUCAGGAGGUUAGUGCAAUGGCAUAAGCCAGCUUGACUGCGAGCGUGACGGCGCGAGCAGGUGCGAAAGCAGGUCAUAGUGAUCCGGUGGUUCUGAAUGGAAGGGCCAUCGCUCAACGGAUAAAAGGUACUCCGGGGAUAACAGGCUGAUACCGCCCAAGAGUUCAUAUCGACGGCGGUGUUUGGCACCUCGAUGUCGGCUCAUCACAUCCUGGGGCUGAAGUAGGUCCCAAGGGUAUGGCUGUUCGCCAUUUAAAGUGGUACGCGAGCUGGGUUUAGAACGUCGUGAGACAGUUCGGUCCCUAUCUGCCGUGGGCGCUGGAGAACUGAGGGGGCUGCUCCUAGUACGAGAGGACCGGAGUGGACGCAUCACUGGUGUUCGGGUUGUCAUGCCAAUGGCACUGCCCGGUAGCUAAAUGCGGAAGAGAUAAGUGCUGAAAGCAUCUAAGCACGAAACUUGCCCCGAGAUGAGUUCUCCCUGACUCCUUGAGAGUCCUGAAGGAACGUUGAAGACGACGACGUUGAUAGGCCGGGUGUGUAAGCGCAGCGAUGCGUUGAGCUAACCGGUACUAAUGAACCGUGAGGCUUAACCUU